rnacentral:rRNA from 1 species
AUGAACGCUGGCGGCGUGCCUCAUACAUGCAAGUAGAACGCUGAAGCUUGGUGCUUGCACCGAGCGGAUGAGUUGCGAACGGGUGAGUAACGCGUAGGUAACCUGCCUCUUAGCGGGGGAUAACUAUUGGAAACGAUAGCUAAUACCGCAUAAAAGUCGAUAUCGCAUGAUAUUGAUUUGAAAGGUGCAAAUGCAUCACUAAGAGGUGGACCUGCGUUGUAUUAGCUAGUUGGUGAGGUAACGGCUCACCAAGGCGACGAUACAUAGCCGACCUGAGAGGGUGAUCGGCCACACUGGGACUGAGACACGGCCCAGACUCCUACGGGAGGCAGCAGUAGGGAAUCUUCGGCAAUGGGGGCAACCCUGACCGAGCAACGCCGCGUGAGUGAAGAAGGUUUUCGGAUCGUAAAGCUCUGUCGUAAGAGAAGAACGAGUGUGAGAGUGGAAAGUUCACACUGUGACGGUAACUUACCAGAAAGGGACGGCUAACUACGUG